rnacentral:pre_miRNA from 1 species
GGGGGGUGUGACCCCACGCUCCCUGGGGGGUGUGAUCCCACGCUUGCUGGGAGGUGUGAUCCUGCGCUCCCU